GGAACACCCAGGAGCGCAGUGGCAAAGCUCCGCCUUGCAUCCCCCCGGCGGCUGCCGAUUGGCUGAGAAGCGAGCAAAGCCAAAAGGAUGGGGAGGUAAUCCCGGAUGCUUGUAAGGAGCCAUAAAAAGACCCAACUAAGUUCAGUAAAUAUCUGGAGACACUGAUGUGCAGUUAUCAAGACGCUUGAGAGUGAUGUAACAGGCAUCUGAGUCAUCCUUCAGGGGCAAAGUUCAAAUUUUAUUUGUGAAGGACUGCGAGCCGGCUUGGCCAGAAGAAUCUGAAAAUAGAAAAACACAUACAGACGACAUGAGCAGAUGCUUACUAAUCUCUACCUGUGUUCAGCCUUUAGAAGGUGCUAUUUCUUUCCCUGUACAACCUUGGCGAUUCUCCGAUUUCGCCAGUGGGAUGGCGAAGACUCAGAGCCAUUUGGAUCGUUUCCUGCCAGUCUCAGCUUUCUGCCUUUCUCCGUAUUUGCGAGAAGUAA